rnacentral:piRNA from 1 species
AGAAAUGUUGUGGCAGUUAAGAGUUGGAGA